GUCUAUGGCCAUGCCACCCUGAACAUACCCGAUAUCAUCUGAUCUUGGAAGUUAAGCAGGGUCGGGCCUAGUUAGUACUUGGAUGGGAGAACACCUAGGAAUACCAGGUGCUGUAGGCA
rnacentral:rRNA from 1 species